rnacentral:rRNA from 1 species
CCUACGGGUGGCUGCAGGCGAGAAAACUUUGCAAUGUGCGAAAGCACGACAAGGUUAAUCCGAGUGGUUUCUGCUAAAGAAACCUUUUGUUAGUCCUAGAAACACUGAUGAAUAAGGGGUGGGCAAGUUCUGGUGUCAGCGCCGCGGUAAAACCAGCACCUCAAGUGGUCAGGAUGAUUAUUGGGCCUAAAGCAUCCGUAGCCGGCUAUGUAAGUUUUCGGUUAAAUCUGUGCGCUUAACGUACAGGCUGCCGGGAACACUGCAUAGCUAGGAAGUGGGAGAGGUAGACGGUACUCGGUAGGAAGGGGUAAAAUCCUUUGAUCUAUGAUGACCACCUGUGGCGAAGGCGGUCUACCAGAACACGUUCGACGGUGAGGGAUGAAAGCUGGGGGAGCAAACCGGAUUAGAUACCCUUGUAGUC